CCUAAGCCCCGGUAAACGGCGGCCGUAACUAUAACGGUCCUAAGGUAGCGAAAUUCCUUGUCGGGUAAGUUCCGACCUGCACGAAUGGCGUAACGACUUUCCCACUGUCUCAACCACAGACCCGGCGAAAUUGAAGUACGAGUAAAGAUGCUCGUUAGCUACAGAAGGACGGAAAGACCCCGUGGACCUUUACUAUAACUUGGUAUUGGGUUUUGGCAUGGGUUGUGUAGGAUAGGUCGGAGACUAGGAAGCGUGCGCGCUAGCGUGCGUGGAGUCACCCUUGAAAUACGACCCUGCUCAUGUUGAAGCUCUAACCUUGGACCCUGAUCGGGUUCGGGAACAGUGCCAGGCGGGUAGUUUGACUGGGGCGGUCGCCUCCCAAAAAGUAACGGAGGCGCCCAAAGGUUCCCUCAGGCUGGUUGGCAAUCAGCCGUCGAGUGCAAUGGCACAAGGGAGCUUGACUGUGAGACUUACAAGUCGAGCAGGUGCGAAAGCAGGGCAUAGUGAUCCAGCGAUUGCGUGUGGAAGCGUCGUUGCUCAACGGAUAAAAGGUACCCCGGGGAUAACAGGCUCAUCUUCCCCAAGAGUCCAUAUCGACGGGAAGGUUUGGCACCUCGAUGUCGGCUCAUCGCAUCCUGGGGCUGAAGCAGGUCCCAAGGGUUGGGCUGUUCGCCCAUUAAAGCGGUACGCGAGCUGGGUUUAGAACGUCGUGAGACAGUUCGGUCCCUAUCCUCUGUAGCCGUAGGAGAUUUGAGAAAGGCUGUCCCUAGUACGAGAGGACCGGGAUGGACGCAGCUCUCGUGUGCCAGUUGUUCCGCCAGGAGCAUGGCUGGUUGGCGACCUGCGGAAAGGAUAAGCGCUGAAAGCAUCUAAGCGCGAAACCUGUUUCGAGAUGAGAUCUCCCACUGGAUAACCAGGUAAGGCCCGUGGCAGACCACCACGUUGAUAGGCCGGAUGUGUAAGCACGGUAACGUGUUCAGCAGACCGGUACUAAUCGGCCGAGGGCUUGGGCUC
rnacentral:rRNA from 1 species